UCCGGUUUGUCACCGGCAGUCUCCCUAGAGUUCCCACCCGAAGUGCUGGCAACUAGGGACAAGGGUUGCGCUCGUUGCGGGACUUAACCCAACAUCUCACGACACGAGCUGACGACAGCCAUGCAGCACCUGUCACUCGGUUCCCGAAGGCACCCCCGCAUCUCUGCAGGGUUCCGAGGAUGUCAAGGCCAGGUAAGGUUCUUCGCGUUGCAUCGAAUUAAACCACAUGCUCCACCGCUUGUGCGGGCCCCCGUCAAUUACUUUGAGUUUUACCGUUGCCGGCGUACUUCCCAGGCGGAGAACUUAAUGCGUUAGCUGCGGCACGGACCACGUGGAAUGUGACCCACACCUAGUUCCCAACGUUUACGGCGUGGACUAC
rnacentral:misc_RNA from 1 species